rnacentral:tRNA from 1 species
GAUAGUGUGGCCGAGUGGUCUAUAGCGCUGGUUUUAGGCACCAGUCUCUUCGGAGGCAAGGGUUCGAAUCCCUUCACUGUCA